rnacentral:lncRNA from 1 species
ACCUGAUUUAUAAGUGAGCAUCUGAUAUUGUUGUGGAAUGGUAAUUUUCAACUUCGAUGGAUGGGCUAUAUUUGAUGUUUGCUUCUCAAGGUAAAAGUAAAACCAUAAUGGUCUACUGUUCCAUACUACUGCCAACGCCAUCACGAUAUGGGCAUCACACAUAUUACCGUUUUUGGACUGGCUUUACAGUUGAUUAAAGCAUCAAGUCUGCAAAAAAAAAAAAAAAUAGUAGCAAUUGCCGCAUCCUGAAUCUUUUGCUUGUUCCGUCCACACAUUUUUGUUAACAUUCUUUUCUUCUGGCAGUUGACUUGAUUAAUAUAAUGGUCGGUCCAAGCAAGCAAGUCCCCUUGCUUUAGAUUGUAACUCUUAAAGUAGCUUAUCUAUUAUUCUUGGAUAAUUUUGCACCUAACAGGAUAUUCUACUUGUGAAUGCACAUGAUCCGCAAUGUAUCACAACUAAGGAAGUUUGAAAGAGCUUAUGCAGUGGUUUGUUUUCACUUUUCAGUUUGCUGUCUGUCAUCAAAAUGACUAGUUAUAUUUGGGAGAGGGAAGUGUUUAGGAGUACAUACAAUUUCCAUACUUUCUAAAUUGUGAUUGGUUUGUGCACCCCUCGAUUCCAUGUGAUGUGAAAUGGGUCAUUUAAAAAAAUGAAUGUCAGGUUAUUGAAAUGUUAACAAGCAAAAGAUUAACAAAUGCAGAUGUUUCGAUUAUGGAAAAUCGGGGCAUUUCAAAAAUAAAUUUUGAUUAUUGAAAAAGGAAAUUAAUGACGGAAUCUAGUGUAACAUCGUAAUUGAUAGACUCCUUAAUCAUUUGCAUGUGAGAGUUGCGUAUAAGAUAAAAAAUAUCUUUAACACAGUCAUGAAGAAGAACAUGAUAGUACUGUUUUUAGGUUUGUAAUCUAAAACAAUGGUGUGUAUUAUGUAUGUAUGCUAUCUACAUUUCCUUAUAAUUAAAAAAGUUAAAAGAAGUUCUGGGGAUAGAUUGUGAUGUAUACGAAUCAAUUCGUGACAAAACAUUCAUGAAAUGUUGCAUCUUUUGAAGGGUUGUUUUUUUUUUUCUUUCACAAAAAGGCAUGCACCAAAAACAUGAAUGAUUCUUUAAAAGGAACAACCCUACAUGCAAAUGUGAAUAUGAUAUUCCUCUAGUUUAUACACUUAUAUCCAAUUCUUGUGUUCGUUUAUCCACAUAAUUAAGUAAACUAUUGCUCUGGACUACCUACAUUAGUACCAAAACAAAACUAUAAAUAGCAAUUUGAAGAGGAAAAACAUAUACUUAAAAGUUUGCAAAUCAAAACUCAUCAAUCAUUAGCCUGGUACACAAGAAAAGUUGGAUGAUCUCAUUUUCUCCAUCCCUUUGAUUGUUCUACUGAAAAUUGAAGUACCCAGUCAACAAUCACUCUAGCAGUUUAUGCAUUACUCUAAGUUAAACAAGCUGAGAUUAAAAAAAAACUAUUACUAUCACAAAACUGGUUUCAUAAUUAGCCACAUACAUACUCCCACCAUUUGUAAAUAGCAUAUCCAUAAAUUAAGCUGUAAGUAAUCACCCUCAGAGGAGACUUAGUAAACCUGUAUCAAAGAGAAGGAAGAUUCAAUUAACAUUCAUCAUUCAUCCAUGCAAACUAUCAAUCUCACCGUCAAUUCAAACGUGCAUUUACACACUAACAAAUUCAUCAAAAUCUAGUUAAAGAGUAGAAGUGAAAUAAAGAGAGAGGCACCUUGAAAAUCCAGAUCCAUGAGUAAACGCAGCUUCUGUUCUUUCCUCAACAGUAACAGGAUAAGGCCAACGUGAAAUAUCACGGUUAAAAUAAUCCCAAUCAGGUAAAAGAAGACAAGAAAUACCAACAAGACCCAACACAUAGGUAACCAUCAUCUUCUUGAAUGAGUGUGUGAAUACACCAACUGCCAGUAUAAUUACUGCUAGCCAAAGUAAACAGGCUCUUAGAGCUGCAUCAUUUGCCAUGAUUGUGAUGAGUUUGGUGAGACUUUGGGAUUAGAUUCAAUUAAAUUUGUUGAUGUUGUUAUUUUUGUUACUAGUUGUUAUGUUGAUGAAAAAAAUGAAUGAAGGGCCAUACAAAUGCCCUUACGACAGUGGUGAGGAGUGAGGCAGAGUUAAGAAAGACGCAUGAGCUUUAAAUGCUAACUCAACUGUCCCUUCUAUAAACUUUAAAUGUUCUAAUUUAAUGUCAUACUACCUCAUAGUUGUCAACUUAGAAUCGGGUUGGCGAGUGUUGUCUCCGUAUUUGCUCUCACCUUCUUCUAUGACAACGAUAAUGUGCAUAAAAAGAAAAUUUUAUUCAUACAAAACUCAAAAUGUUUGUUAUAUAUACUUCAAUGUACAUUAAUGAAAUAUGGUUAUGAAAGUUCUUUUGCACUAAUGAAAACGAGUUUGAAGGCAUAAAGAGUUAAGGUUUAUUAGGGAUGACAAUUCUAUUCAUACCGAUUGAGAAAAAGUAAGUGCGAGUUAAGAAUUUUGAAAAAUAAAGUGUGGAGAAGUUUCAUAUUGAUUAGAAAAGUGGAGAUUUUGAAUAUUUACAAGUGAGAAAACCUACACAUCAAAGUUUUGGAUGAGUACGUGGUGUUUCUCUCACAACGCGUGUUAUUCAUAAAGGAAGACCCCAAUGUAAAAAUGUUCCAUUUUUUUGAACCCCAGAAUUGAAACCCUAACAGUGCUAUCAUAAGCCUUUGGUUAGAGUGAGAAACCGACUUUCUUGGAUUGAAAGUACUCCCCAUAGGCGGUGGAUAGGAGAUGUCCCAUUGAGGAGUGUCAACGUUGGUACAAGUGUAUGUGGAUAAAAGAGCUUCCGCUAUAGGGGGAGUAUUGUGGAUAGACUCACACUUGAGAGGGAGUGUUGGAAAAAAAAUAAGUGUGAGUUAUGAACUUUGAGAAACAAAGUGUGGGUAAAUCCCGCAUUGAUUAGAAACGUGGAUUACUUGAGCAUUUAUAGGUGAGAGAACCCACACUUCUAUCACCUUAAGGUUUUGGGUGAGUAUUAUGGAGAUUUUAGCAUUUAUAAGUGAGAGAAUCCACACUCCUAUUACCUUAAGAUUUUGGGUGAGUACGUGGUGUGUUCCUCAUAAGACGUGUUGCUUAUAAAGAAAGGCCCAAAUGUAAAAGUGCUCUAUCAUGUUGAAUCCCCAAAUUGAAACCCCUACAAUAUCCAAUGGGUAUCAGCAAAAUUUAUCCACAACGGAUAGGAUAAAAAUACGUAAAAAUGGAUAUGGGCACGAAAAUGGGUAAAUUAUCCAUUAAAAUAAGAGGGUAUGGGUGCGGGUACUAGUACCUUAGUACCCACCCCGUCUCAUACCCGCACAACGUAUAUUUAUAUAUUUUAAUUAAUAUCAUCAUAUAAAAAAUAUAUGUCUAUAUCUUUUAAAAAAUACAUCACAAUUAAUAUAUUACACAUUUUAAUAUAAGUCUUAAUUUAUUUCAUAAUUCAAUAGUAAAAUCUUUGAAUUUUUUGUUAAUUUGGUUAAAAAAUUAAAAUGAUAUGAUAUUUUUCAAUUGAUAGAUUUAUUCUCAUUAGAACUGCGGGUAACGAGUACGAAUAAGGGUACUUUGGUAUCUAUAGGGUACGAGUACAAGUAUAAAGGUUGGUGUCCACAUGGAUAUGAGUUUGGGUACAAGGAUUUUUUUCAAACUGUGGAUAUGGGGAUGAGUAUUAUAAUACCCUACCCAUUGUCAUCCUACUUAUCACAUGUAUUCAAGAAAGAUAUAUAGGACAUCCUUCAAGUUACCUACCUAUUUACUGGUACUUUUAGUAAACAAUCACGAGUUUGAUUCACUUAAGAGAUUAAAAUAAAAAAAUAUCUCAAGGACAAUUUAUACAGAAAAAAUACAAUGAAAAAAAGUUUGUGAUUGGAACUUAAAUAUUUGAAUGUUGACAAACCGAACAUAAACUUUAAAUGAAAAAGUGUAGAAUUAAUUUGAGAAAAACAAAUAGACAAAAAGUAUAAUAAAUGUCACAAAAACAUAAUUAAUGAAUUCUUUUCUCAUCUCUCAACUCUAUUUAUUGCAAACAUCAUUUUUAUACAAAAGCACAUAUGCACUCAAAAAGGGCUCCCUAGGAGUACCUAUGACACUUUGGGUGCUAACACCUUCCUUCUGUGUAACCAACUCCCUUACCUGUAAUCUCUGGCAUUUUAUUAGUUUUGAUUUGAAAACUUCUUAUCUUUGGGGUUUGUUUGUACUUUUCCCUCGGAAACAAUAAAAGUGCGGUGGCGACUCUGAUUUUAUUGACGUUAAGUUUAUCUAUAACUUAAUGGUCAUGAAUUUACCGCUACAGAAAUUAAGUGGUGGCUCUGUUGGGGAGUAGUCCUCAGUGGGUUUAGCCUACUUUUUUAUGUGUAUAUAAUUGUAUAUCUGAUGUUUGUAUAUUUGUUUGUAUGAUAUAAUUGUAUACGUGCGUUUUCGACGCCAUGAGAUUUGGUGUAAGAAAUGAUGUUUUCGACAAAUGAUGACAUGGGUUGAAACGAUUUGAUUAGUAUGGUUCGACACUUCGACCAGAAGGAGGUUUCGUCNGACUUGGAAGCUAUGAAGCACUGACAAGGACAUCAGACACGUCGACACCGGUAAUAAUUUGAAAAAAUGAAUAAAUUCAACGUUAACACAAGUGUCGGUGUUCGACACUAAUAAAGACCCUUUUUUCAGAGGUGUCGGUGCUACGGAGCUUGGUAGUGAUGCAAGUUGUAUUAAUAGAGAGUUCAAUGGACAGAAAUGUUAGUAUUGCAUCGAAAAUUGUAAGUGUCAUUCAUUUUGCAACAUAUAUAUCAUGCAAAUGGAUUACUCAUUUUGGGAGAGACUAGUUGAUUUAAGGCACUUUUAAGAUGGAGAGGUAUCACAAAUGGUCUAUGGUGGAAUGGUUAAUUUGAAACUCUAACAACUGUUGUCGUUUAUAUGGUAUUAUUCUUCCUCACGAUUGAGACUGUCUAACCCAAUCGUUAUUGAUUUGGCAAAAAAAUAAGAAAACAAAUGUUAGUGUCUUGAAUUCCAACUUAUAUUACUUUUCUCUCGUAGUAUUUGUCAAAUCAAUGCUGGUUAGGUUACCGUUUUACUUGUAAGUAUGCGGAGUAUGUUGAACUUCCUACUUAAAGUUUUUAGCAAUAUCCAAACAUUGCUCCACUGAAGACUUCGUGACACACUUUUUUACCCUAGCAAUUGGUUGUAUUUAAUGGUAACUUGUAAGUACUCCUCUACAUUUGAUUAUUCAUUUAGAAACACUAUUUGAACUGCUGCUGUAUGUUUUUUUAAUCAGAACCUGUGUUGCUCCACUUGAAAGACUUAAGCUGGAAUAUAUGGUUCGUGGUGAGAAGAGGAAUAUCUUUGAGGUUAUUAAAUCAAUUGCUACUUCUCAAGGGUUGAGAGGUUUUUGGAAGGGGAACCUUCUUAAUAUUCUGCGAACGGCUCCGUUCAAAGCUGUUAAUUUUAGUGCGUAUGAUACUUAUCGAAAACAACUACUUAAAUUCUCUGGAAAUGAAGAAACUACCAAUUUUGAGAGGUUUAUUGCUGGUGCGGCUGCUGGGGUCACUGCUACUAUUAUUUGCCUGCCACUUGACACUGUAUGUGGUGGUAACUUGAAUCAUGAUUUAUUAGUUUAUUUUAUCUUGCCCAAUUGAAUAAACUUGAAUCUCUUAUUAUAAUUUUGCAUUUCAAUAGUAAAGCAGUCGCACACUGGCAUACAAACAUGACAAUUGGUCUUGGUGUGAAACUGUGAAAAAGUGAAAAAUCAACUGAACAUAUUUAGUUCUUAACUUUUUUUAGUUAAGGAAACAUUUGGAUUUUUGGUAAUUUCAGCGUGUACUUAGCAUCUGUCCUUCAAUAGUGCAUGAUGUUUCUUUCUAUGUCUUUCUUGUCGCGCCCUCUUAUAUUCAAUUAUGGUUCUCUGUUGUGCAUAAAAUGUCAGAUAAAAAGAUGAGUUUAAUAGGCAUAAGAUGUUUCAUAUAUGGACGUUCGACACAGCAGUGGGUCUGUGUGAUUAUGGGUCCCUAGGAAAUGUCAGGGUCAGGUUAGAAGCUGAAACGAGCAUAUCCAAAUAUGUUUCAUAUCCCCUUCAAAGUAAUUCCAUAAUGGCAUGUGUUCUAAAGUCUGAUUUAAUAUCGAGCAGUUAUUUGGUUCCUUCGACCAGUGUGAGAACCUGAAUCAUGUAUAUAAAAGUUAGUUUUUGUUGCUAAUUAAAACAAGUGCACACAUUCAGCUAUUUGCAGUACAAUCACUUUAAAAAUUUACUUUGUGCGCCUUAUAGAUUCGGACCAAGAUAGUGGCACCUGGCGGAGAAACUUUGGGUGGUGUAAUUGGUGCUUUCCAAUACAUGAUUCAAACUGAAGGCAUCUUUUCUCUAUACAAGGGUUUAGUACCAUCACUUAUAAGCAUGGCUCCAUCAAGUGCUGUUUUUUAUGGUGUAUACGAUAUGCUAAAAUCAUCUUAUUUGCAUUCACCCGAAGGAAUGCAAAGAAUCCAGAAUUUGCAUAAACAGGGUCAGGAACUGAGUGCCUUUGAUCAGCUUGAGUUGGGGCCAGUAAGGACAUUGUUGUAUGGGGCUAUUGCCGGUGCAUGUGCAGAAGCUGCUACAUAUCCAUUCGAAGUUGUGAGAAGGCAGCUUCAAUUGCAAGUCCAGUCUACUAAAUUAAGUUCUUUAGCAACAUUUGUCAAAAUAGUAGAACAAGGAGGCGUUUCAGCCCUCUAUGCCGGACUUGUUCCCAGCUUAUUACAGGUAUUAAAUUCUGAAUUUCUUGUCAUGCUCUAGUUACUUGUAUUUUAAUGGACUUACAUUUAUCAGUUUUGAAUACCUAUUUUCUGAGGACUCAGAACUAUUCUGUAGUAGUCCCCAAUCUGUUCAUAUUGAUUAUUCCUUGCUAAUAUUAUAACUAUUUAAAGUUUAUAAUGUAGAGAUUGUAGAUUAAGGUUCAUGUAGGGUGUUGUUUCGUUCUUAAAAUCUGAAUUCCAUUUACAUUUUACUGUGGUGAUCACAGGCUGCUGACUCUAUAUAGUCCUCUAAUUCUCCUUAACUCAGCAAUGCCUUGUUUAUGAAAUGUUUUGAUUAUUGCUAUAAGAUUAUUUUCCCCGUAAAAUUUCAUAAUAUCAAUUAUUUAUGCCAAAGCAAAAACCUUUUAUAUCAUGGAAAUGUAUAUACUUUAUAUAUGGUAGGGACCAUGAAAAUAAAUCUAUGCGGCUUUAUGGUUGUCUUCCUCUGGUCUAAAUCGAGAUCCUAUGCAAGAUCAGGAAGGGGUCACAAGAUUGUAAUCACAUAAUUGUAUCAUAUGGAUGGAUGUAAGAUUCUUCCAGUUUCACAAACCCAAACCCACAUAUAUAUGUAUAUAAGACAACAAUCAAGUAAAACAAUCAAUCAUGUAUAUGUAUAUAAAACAACAUCCAAGUAAAAAAGUUCAAAUCACAUCCAAAAUAUUUAAUGAAAUUCAAAUUAGGAUCAUAAGAUUCAUCACAUGAUGUCAUACAAAAUUCAUAAAAGCCACAAACAACAACACCAUGGAUAUAAAAUGUCAUAGGGAAAGAAUAUAAAUCAGAGCAGUGCAGAAAACAGAGGGAAAGUGUCAAAUGUCAACCAGGUUGCUGCUUAAGGGUAACACUUGCACCAGCCAGAAAGUUACUUCCUCGUAUGAGUCUAUGAGAUGGAAAGGGUCGCACCUGCAUGAUCAGAAGGCAGCAUGAAGCAAGCUGUAAUUUUCACCCCUACACGAGUUUUCCAGUUUGUAAAAGUGGUCUGGUGAGUUUUAACUUUUCCGAAUUGUUUAUCGGAUUACUUUGAAAAGUUUUCCGGAAAUUUGCCCGCGGCUUAUUCGUGAUGGAAGACAAAAUCAGAGCGCAAAACAGAGCAAUUCAAAUAUGAGAGGAAGUAAGGUAUGGGAACGAUUUCAUAAAAUGAAGGCUUAGUGACUUAGAAACUAACCGCAUCACCCUUUCAUUUGCUUAAAACAAGAUUUUUUAGGGUUAUUGAAUGCUAAUCUUUGUUUUAAGGAACCGGGUCGUGUACCCGGCCCAUGAGCAAUUGCUGUGCUUAUAACUUGUAAGCAAAAGUAAUCACCCAGCUUGCUUGCACAAUUCCACUGGCUCUAUGGCUCUGCACGUUGAUCCCAGCCGCUCCCACUAAUUAACAAUUCUUCGCAUGCACGAACAUGGCAAGACAUAGCAUUACCGCAGAAUAGCAUGAUUCUACGCGCUGACUCGGCGAUUUAACUCACAUGCUCAUGGUCCUUUAAGUUAUUUAAUUGUACCAUUUUAGUCCUUUAUAUUGUUUUCCUAACUAGGUCCUUUAACUCUCAAACAUGCACAUCGUCGACAUUUUUUGAGUUUGUGUCCAACUCCUUAAAAAAAUGCCUGCGUAGUUGUUAUGUUGUCUAAGGGCUUUGGUGGCUACUAAGUUAGAAUUUUGACUUUUAUUUACUAAAGAAGCCCAGUUUUGUAAUAGAAAAACCCUCCAUCAUCUUCAUUAUUUUCAUCAUUUGCCUGUACCCCUCUAACCUAACCAAUCUAAACCAUCCACCUUGAAAUCAAAACACUUCAUUAUUUGCCUGUACACCCUCAAGCAAAAAAGAACACAACAUGACCAACCAACCGGCAACCCAUAGUCAUUUCCGCCACAAACAUUUUUGGGAAGAUGAAUGAAAAUGAGUAUGAUUUUACAAUGAUUUUCACAGUGGAAAUUGGAGUGGGUUGGUGUGGCUUAUAAAAAAUUUCAGAGACUGGCGAGGUGGAAUGUUUCAUGACUGUGGCUGGGAAGGUUGGACUCACAGGACGCGAGGCUCCAAUCUCGGAGAGGCGGAGACAGACCUCCCCUUCUUCUCCAUAUUCUAUGCUUCUCUCUAAAGCUAUUGUUGCUGCCUUCACUUACUGUUCUGUAGUGGUUCUUUCUGUGUAAAAGAGGAUGAUAGUUAGUAAUGGAAGUUAAUGGUGAAUAGAUGGCGGGCUAUGGGUGAAGAUGAAACUCUCCUCUCACACUCUUUACCUCUCUGGAAUUUUUUUCUUCUCCUCUUCUCUCUCUCAAACUCAUCUUUUUUGUUUCUCUGUUUCUGUUUAUAGUAGGGGUAUUGUGAGGAGGAGUCAGAAACAGGUAAAAUUGAGAGGAAAAAAUGAUAAGCUAUAGAAGCUUUAAACUAUUUCAAGUAGCUUAUAAGAAAACCCUACAAAUUUGUAAAGAUAAGUUAUAAACUUGUGAGAAAAUGACAGUUACCAAACGAGUCUUUUUUGGUCGUACGAGCUUAUAAGGUAGCUAGCUUAUUGUGCUUGCCAAACAGGCCAUAAUUUGAUUUUUUAUCUAAUAAAACACAGGACUAGGAUAUGGUGUAGGAAUAAAUGUGUAGUCAAAUUAUCAGUCGCAUCAACAUCAUAACAGCCUCAUAGACAUGUUUUUAUUGGAUUUAGACAGAAACUCAAAAAAGGUCAACUGCGUGCUUGUUAUGAGAGUUAAGGACCUUCUCGAUAAAAAAACAAAAAAGACUCGUGUGGUACACUUAAACAACUUAAAGGACCACAUGAUGAAUUUUGCCUUUCAUUCAUUUGUGUAUUUCUGAUUUCAUACUGCUUAUGAUUGCUUUCUUCUUAACCAUAAAAGUUUAACAUUAUUUUUUAUUUCCCAUUCUCAGGUACUUCCUUCAGCAUCAAUUAGUUACUUUGUGUAUGAGUUCAUGAAGAUUGUUCUCAAAGUAGAGUGAGUAGGCAAUGAACAUAUGAGAUCUUCAGUUUUAUACGGAUAAGAAGCAGUAACCUGAUUUAUAAGUGAGCAUCUGAUAUUGUUGUGGAAUGGUAAUUUUCAACUUCGAUGGAUGGGCUAUAUUUGAUGUUUGCUUCUCAAGGUAAAAGUAAAACCAUAAUGGUCUACUGUUCCAUACUACUGCCAACGCCAUCACGAUAUGGGCAUCACACAUAUUACCGUUUUUGGACUGGCUUUACAGUUGAUUAAAGCAUCAAGUCUGCAAAAAAAAAAAAAAAUAGUAGCAAUUGCCGCAUCCUGAAUCUUUUGCUUGUUCCGUCCACACAUUUUUGUUAACAUUCUUUUCUUCUGGCAGUUGACUUGAUUAAUAUAAUGGUCGGUCCAAGCAAGCAAGUCCCCUUGCUUUAGAUUGUAACUCUUAAAGUAGCUUAUCUAUUAUUCUUGGAUAAUUUUGCACCUAACAGGAUAUUCUACUUGUGAAUGCACAUGAUCCGCAAUGUAUCACAACUAAGGAAGUUUGAAAGAGCUUAUGCAGUGGUUUGUUUUCAC